GGUGGAUCCAAAUUUGCUGGAAUAUUAGAUAUAGACCACAGAGAUUGUCUUAAUGACGAGGAGCACAAGGUUUUGAUUAAACACAUUGACGUUGUGAAAAGGCAGAGAAAUUAUUUUGAAAAAUUCUUUAAUGGUAGAACUCAGAGAACUUUCAAAGAACCUACUACCCAAAACAGGGGCAAGGAAUAUGAAUUACACAUAGGGAAUUAGCAUCUCUAAAUUGAAAAAGGUGAUGAAGACAGGAAAAGCAGAAAACUGAAGAAAAUCCCCAUUGAAGUUCAACAUUUUUUAUGAAACCAAUCAUGAAGUUUGCAUGGAAAAUGUUUUGCUGUCGUUUAAAUCGAUGUUUUUAAGUUACAUUGGGAAAUAGUCCAAUUUUAGAUUUCGUAAGUAAUAUUGCACUACUAUUGUACUCAGCUGAAAUUAGGUAAUUACACAAAUUUCACAAUUCAUCCACUCAGACAUAAAAUUAUAGCAUUUGAGUG
rnacentral:misc_RNA from 1 species